rnacentral:tRNA from 1 species
GAGGAUACAGCUUAGUGGCGAGGUGCCUGCUUAGUAAGCAGGAGGGCCUGGGUUCAAUCCCUAGUACCUCCA